rnacentral:rRNA from 1 species
UAACAAGGAUUCCCCUAGUAACGGCGAGUGAAGAGGGAAGAGCUCAAGGUUAAAACCUGGGUGGGUGACCACUCCGGAUUGUAAACUAUUGCUUCCGACUUUGUGAAAGCCUGGUUAAAAGUCCUUUGGAAUAAGGCAUCAUCGAGGGUGAGAGUCCCGUUCGUUGACCAGCGUGUUUUUACUAAUAUUUCGGUUGUCAAGCGAGUCAGGUUGUUUGGGAAUGCAGCCUAAAUUGGGUGGUAAAUCACAUCUAAAGCUAAAUAUUGGCGAGAGACCGAUAGCGAACAAGUACCGUGAGGGAAAGAUGAAAAGAACUUUGAAAAGAGAGUUAAACAGUACGUGAAAUUGCUGAAAGGGAAGCGUUUGCAGACAAAUUGUAGGGUGUAGUUUGUGCGGUGUGAAAAGCGGAUUUUAUUCGAAAGACACGGUGUAGACUUACCCUGCUAUUGCUGGCUGUCAACGACCCGUCUUGAAACACGGACCAA